rnacentral:rRNA from 1 species
CCUACGGGUGGCUGCAGUGGGGAAUAUUGCGCAAUGGGCGAAAGCCUGAUGCAGCGACGCCGCGUGAGGGAUGAAGGUCUUCGUUACGUAAAGCUCUGUCAGCAGGGAAGAAAAUUACCUUUGCUACUCAACAGUGCCUUGCCAACUCCGGCCCAGCAGCCGUGGUAAUACGCAGGGGGAAAGCGUUAAUCGGUUUUACUGGUGGGAACGUGAUCGUAGACGGUUCGCCAAGUCAAGGGUGAAAUCCCGGAGCUUAACGAGGGAACUGCUUUUGAAACUGGCGAACUGGAGUGCGUGAGAGGUAAGUGGAAUUCCUGGUGUAGGAGUGAAAUGCGUAGAUAUUAGGAGGAACACCAGUGGCGAAGGCGACUAACUGGAACGUAACUGACGUUGAGGAGCGAAAGCGUGGGUAGCAAACAGGAUUAGAUACCCUUGUAGUC